rnacentral:lncRNA from 1 species
AUGCCCUUGACCUAUGCACCAAUGGAAAGCUUUCUACAGGAGCUAACAUGCACACAACACACAUUCUUUCUCUCUCUCUACCUCUCGGUCUGUCUCUCUCGGUCUCAUUCUCUCAUCUGUCUGUCUGUCUGUCUGUCUCUCUCUACCCCCUCCUUCUCUCUCUGUCUCUGUCUCUGUCUGUCUCUCUCUCUCUCUUUCUUUAUCUCUCUCCCUCUCUCUCUCUUUCCCCUCUAUAUCCCCUCCUCUCUCUUUCCCUUUCUGUCCCUUUCUAUAUUUAUAUAUGUGGACAGACAGAGAUAUAUAUGUGUCUUUUUAGAUGUAUAUGUGUG